UACGUAGGUGGCAAGCGUUGUCCGGAUUUACUGGGCGUAAAGAGCGCGCAGGCGGUCGUUCAAGUCGCGUGUGAAAGCCCCCGGCUCAACUGGGGAGGGUCACGCGAUACUGAUCGACUCGAAGGCAGGAGAGGGAAGUGGAAUUCCCGGUGUAGUGGUGAAAUGCGUAGAUAUCGAGAGGAACACCUGCGGCGAAGGCGGGUUGCUGGGCUGACACUGACGCUGAUGUGCGAAAGCUAGGGGAGCGAACGGG
rnacentral:rRNA from 1 species